UUUCCUACGGGAGGCAGCAGUGAGGAAUAUUGGUCAAUGGGCGGGAGCCUGAACCAGCCAAGUCGCGUGAGGGAAGACGGUCCUAUGGAUUGUAAACCUCUUUUGUCGGGGAGCAAAGAGGCCACGUGUGGUCAAAAGCGAGAGUACCCGAAGAAAAAGCAUCGGCUAACUCCGUGCCAGCAGCCGCGGUAAUACGUAGGGGGCGAGCGUUGUCCGGAAUCACUGGGCGUAAAGGGCGCGUAGGCGGUAAUAUAAGUCAGAUGUGAAAGGUGGGGGCUCAACCCCUAGAGUGCAACUGAUACUGU
rnacentral:rRNA from 1 species